AACGAACGCUGGCGGCAUGCCUAACACAUGCAAGUCGAACGAGACCUUCGGGUCUAGUGGCGCACGGGUGCGUAACGCGUGGGAACCUGCCCUUAGGUUCGGAAUAACUCCCCGAAAGGGGUGCUAAUACCGGAUAAUGUCUUCGGACCAAAGAUUUAUCGCCUUUGGAUGGGCCCGCGUUGGAUUAGCUAGUUGGUAGGGUAAAAGCCUACCAAGGCUACGAUCCAUAGCUGGUCUGAGAGGAUGAUCAGCCACACUGGGACUGAGACACGGCCCAGACUCCUACGGGAGGGAGCAGUGGGGAAUAUUGGACAAUGGGCGAAAGCCUGAUCCAGCAAUGCCGCGUGAGUGAUGAAGGCCUUAGGGUUGUAAAGCUCUUUUACCCGGGAUGAUAAUGACAGUACCGGGAGAAUAAGCUCCGGCUAACUCCGUG
rnacentral:rRNA from 1 species